rnacentral:lncRNA from 1 species
GUCAUUGAAACUUAAGACACUGAAGGUCAGAAUCCAAAUGCCAUCACCCAUACUUCCUACCACCUAGAAAUGGGGAAUCCAGGCUUACCUGUGAUGUUUCAUAAUGACCCAGAUCAACUUUACUGCUUCCAAGGCCUCUUUCAUGCCACUGCAGAGUCUGUACCUUUGGUAAGGCUGGUGUUGUUUUGCUACUCAUUAAAUGAGGAGAAAAUCUUCACAUUUCUAGAUGGUGCAGCAACAGUCCUGGAACUUGCAGGCAUGAAGUACUCAAAACUUAUCUUUACAAUGGAUAUUUGCUGAAUUUCUAUGAAUGUCAAAACUCUUCUUUGAACCUCCUGAAUCUUGAAGAAGAUUUUCCAUUGAGCAUGUGACUGUGUUUCUGUCUGUUGGAUUUAUUUUAAGAAUGUGGCUGUUGAGGGGAUUGCGUAAAGUGAAGAAGCAAAGACAAGCAAAGAACAAAUCACAGCAAGUGGGAGGAGUGUCUGAGAAAAAAUUUAAACCACAAAGUGGCAGCAUCAAUGCAUCAAGAGUGGAAAGGAACCUGAGACAAAACCCUUGGAUGGUGGGAGGUGUCUGGAAGCCCUUGUGAAUGAUGGUAGACAGCAUAUGGUGUGUGGGUGUCCACUGUGAUCUGUUUCCCCCCAGCAGCACAUGAACAGUACCCAGUCUCAAAGUCAUAUUUCCUCUUGGUUAUAGUUCUACAGGCUCUUCAUUUUUAUGCUUCAAUGCCUCCUGAAAUGAUACAUUUGAAAUGGUUUCUGCUCUGUUCUAAGCAUUUAAUUCCUAGAAAGAUAUCAACACACCAGAGGGACUUUUAAGAAGAGUGAGGAAGAAAAGCUGUGGAGGUGAAGGAAAAUAUUCACAAUAGGUAACAAUGGUAUUUGUGAUAACAGUGAUUGCUGCCCAUUUCCCAGCAGCAAUUUCAACAUGUGUCCUUACCAGAUACCCUCUCAGUAUCUAUUUUUAGGGGGACAUUCUUUAUUGUGUAAUAAGAUGUUUGUGUAUUUAGCAAGAUAUAGAAAGGGGAAAGGGGAAUGGCUGUAGGUCCUGAUUGCUAAGGCUUAGAAAAGGGAAAGAGGAGGGGAGGAGUUAAAGUGUUUAAAUGCACGUGUUUAAGAAUUGUCAAAAAGAAAAAAUGUGGAACAAAUAACAAUAAUAUUAAUAUUAAUAGUUCUGAAAUCCCCUCCAUUUUGAAUGUGGAAACAGUGAAUGAAAAAUUACAGCCAGAUUAACGAAGGUCAGCUGGGUAAAAUAAACCCUGAACUCCAAUUCUGCA